rnacentral:rRNA from 1 species
UACGGGGGGGGCAAGCGUUGUUCGGAAUCACUGGGCUUAAAGGGUGCGUAGGCGGCCAAUUAAGUAGGGUGUGAAAUGCCAGAGCUCAACUUUGGCAUUGCGCUCUAGACUGGUUGGCUUGAGUGAGAUAGGGGUGUGCGGAACUUCCAGUGGAGCGGUGAAAUGUGUUGAUAUUGGAAGGAACGCCGGUGGCGAAAGCGGCACACUGGGUCUUAACUGACGCUGAUGCACGAAAGCCAGGGGAGCGAACGGG